GAUGAACGCUAGCUACAGGCUUAACACAUGCAAGUCGAGGGGAAACGAUAUUGGAAGCUUGCUUCCGAUAGGCGUCGACCGGCGCACGGGUGAGUAACGCGUAUCCAACCUGCCCACCACUUGGGGAUAACCUUGCGAAAGUAAGACUAAUACCCAAUGAUAUCUCUAGAAGACAUCUGAAGGAGAUUAAAGAUUUAUCGGGGAUGGAUGGGGAUGCGUCUGAUUAGCUUGUUGGCGGGGUAACGGCCCACCAAGGCGACGAUCAGUAGGGGUUCUGAGAGGAAGGUCCCCCACAUUGGAACUGAGACACGGUCCAAACUCCUACGGGAGGCAGCAGUGAGGAAUAUUGGUCAAUGGACGAGAGUCUGAACCAGCCAAGUAGCGUGCAGGAUGACGGCCCUAUGGGUUAUAAACUGCUUUUAUAAGGGAAUAAAGUGAGCCUCGUGAGGCUUUUUGCAUGUACCUUAUGAAUAAGGACCGGCUAAUUCCGUGCCAGCCGCCGCGGUAA
rnacentral:rRNA from 1 species